rnacentral:rRNA from 1 species
CCUACGGGUGGCAGCAGUGGGGAAUAUUGCACAAUGGGGGAAACCCUGAUGCAGCGACGCCGCGUGAGUGAAGAAGUAUUUCGGUAUGUAAAGCUCUAUCAGCAGGGAAGAAAUAGCGACCUUUGGGUCGUCAGACGGUACCUGUUUAAGAAUCCCCGGCUACCUACGUGCCCGCAUCCUCGGUAAUAUGUAGGGGGCAAGCGGUAUCCGGAUUUAGUGGGUUUAAAGGGUGCGUAGGCGGAAUGCAAAGUCAGCGGUAAAAGCGCGGGGCUAAACCUCGAUCCGCCGUUGAAACUGGCGUUCUGGAGUGGGCGAGAAGUAUGCGGAAUGCGUGGUGUAGCGGUGAAAUGCAUAGAUAUCACGCAGAACUCCGAUUGCGAAGGCAGCAUACCGGCGCCCAACUGACGCUGAAGCACGAAAGCGUGGGGAUCGAACAGGAUUAGAUACCCGGGUAGUC